rnacentral:lncRNA from 1 species
GCCCGCCCGGGGCCAGGCUGAGGCUCCGGACACCGUCUGUUUCCGGGGGAACAGCAGUCGAGGAUGCGCCCGCACAGAGACACAGGACUGAACUGGUGAUGCACAGCAUCGGAGAAGGGUCCGAAGGGCCUCUUCCUGACCUCUCGACCAGUGGAUGUCUGGUGGCUCCAGCACUGUCCUGUCUCCACUAGCUUCCCUUGGCACUUUUGUUGAAUGGACUGGCCAGAUACAGUGACGGCUGGUCUUGGAGCUGUGGUUGGAGGUCUCAGGCUGCCUCUGGGCUUAACCCCUCCUUGAGUUUGUUGACGAAGGUCGAAGCCUGAGCACCAGUGACGUUUCCAGCUGCUGGCCGCCACGAAGACGGGGCAGCACAAGUUCCACGGCAGCUCAGAAGGUUAGCUCGAGCUUCAGCCUGGCAGCCAACGAUCACCGGGACGACCGGUCCUGACCCAGCUGCUCAGCUCUCGUGGAGCCAACUUAAUUACACAGUUGGAACAGCUGCUCGAGCCGGCCAAUGACACAGGGCAAGAAUCAGUCAAGGGAGAAACAAGGCGGGAUUAAUCUGGGGUCUCACUCGUUAAGACCUCCUGCUGUCAUCCCUUGCCAAGCCACUGAGCUGUCACUUCUUAGAAAAUGAUCACAUACCUCCAGCUGCUCUUCCUAAUUCCCUUGAUUUUGCAGAAAUCAUAACAACCCCAGGAGUCGUCAAAAGCCCGGAGCACGUAAUUUGUUCCACUCAGGAAAAUCCUUCCAAGGAGCCUGGGGGUAGUCCACAGGGCCCGGCCUUCUCUCCUUCCACCUUCCUGCCUGCCUCUUCUCGUCCCCUCUGGCUGCUGGAGUGCGGCUGAAGGUGGGCGUCAGAGACACAGUCAGAUCAGAAGCGCCUGUCGACGCGCUCAUGGAGAAACCCGUGCUCUCCAUUCAUUUUGUCCUUGCAGUGACCUUGAGAGGAGGCUCCCCCCCACUACACAGGUGGAGGCUGGGACUCUGCAGACCACGUCUCUGCUUUGUCUGUGGCUCUGUGCUCCAAGGAGAUGCUGGGGCGGGAUGCGGGGGGCAGCACCGGCCUCUUCCAGUCUGCCUCCUGGUUCUGUCAGCAUCACCCAGUCAGAGGUUUUCACCCCAGCUGCAGGAAUUUUCCGGACUCCCAGAACCAGCCCAUCAGAAACACAAGCAUCAGCCAACUGGCACCCGCUUCCCAGGGGCCUGGUCCCGGUCAUGCAGGGCCCCUGCUCUGAGCUUCCAGGUUCUGGACUUGUCCUCGUUGUUCCGCUGGCCCUGGGGCAGGGCUGCUUCCCAAAGCCACCCUCUCUCUGGUGCCCCGCUGUCCCCCUUUUACCUCUGCAGGCCUCUGAUACCCAUUUAACCAAUCCCCUCUAUUGAAUUCUUUUCUGUUAAAAUUACUGGCUUGGUUUCUGUUUUCCUAAUACACAUGAGAGCAAUAGGAUUCUAAGACAAGUGUGUCUGACCUCAAAGCCGGGCUCUCGACCCCUUCUCUGUGCUAUUCCUCACCCCCUUUUGCAACCUGGCGAAAUCUUUGCUCGACCAAACUUUACUCAAGCUCCUCAACCUUCUCCCAGGCCCUAAAAUCUAGUUUCAGCAAGAACCGUGCUGAGUCAGUUUAACCAGCACCCCACCCUCGAGGUCUGAUCGGGUUCCUCACCCUCCACCACCCCCAGUGAUGUCUGACCCCAGCCUGCCUUCAGCAAGCGUCCUGUCAGGUCGGCUUAGCCAGAACCAACUCACCCCGGAUGUUUCCUCUUAGCCCGUCACUGACCCCACCCCGCUCCUUGGCUGAGUUCCCACUUGCACAGGCUGUGUUCAGAGUUGAGCCCAGUCUCUCUCUCCCUGUAAAAUCCCGU